rnacentral:rRNA from 1 species
UACAGAGGUCUCGAGCGUUAGGCGGAAUCACUGGGCUUAAAGCGUGUGUAGGCGGAUCGUUAAGUACCUUGUGAAAUCCCACGGCUUAACCGUGGAACUGCUUGGUAUACUGGCGGUCUUGAGCCAGCUAGGGGCUACCGGAACAAAUGGUGGAGCGGUGAAAUGCGUAGAUAUCCGGAGGAAUACCAAAGGCGAAGGCAGUGUCCUGGCUGGCAUCUGACGCUGAGGCGCGAAAGCUAGGGGAGCGAACAGG